UGGGAUUGACAAUUGCUACAGCUGUUUUGU
rnacentral:piRNA from 2 species